UACGGAGGGUGCAAGCGUUAUCCGGAUUCACUGGGUUUAAAGGGUGCGUAGGUGGGUUGGUAAGUCAGUGGUGAAAUCUCCAGGCUUAACUUGGAAACUGCCAUUGAUACUAUCAAUCUUGAAUACCGUGGAGGUCGGCGGAAUAUGUCAUGUAGCGGUGAAAUGCUUAGAUAUGACAUAGAACACCAAUUGCGAAGGCAGCUGGCUACACGAAUAUUGACACUGAUGCACGAAAGCGUGGGGAUCAAACAGG
rnacentral:rRNA from 1 species